CUCGUAGGCGGCUCAGCAAGUCGGUCGUGAAAACCCGGGGCUCAACCCCGGGACGCCGGCCGAUACUGCUGUGGCUAGGGUCCGGUAGAGGAGAAUGGAAUUCCCGGUGUAGCGGUGAAAUGCGCAGAUAUCGGGAGGAACACCAGUAGCGAAGGCGGUUCUCUGGGCCGGUACCGACGCUGAGGAGCGAAAGCGUGGGGAGCAAACA
rnacentral:rRNA from 1 species